GUGCUCGCUUCAGCAGCACCCAUACUAAAAAUGGAACGAUACAGAGAAGAUUAGUAUGGUCCCUGCGCAAGGAUGACACGCAAAUUCAUGAAGCAUUCCAUAUUUUU
rnacentral:snRNA from 1 species